rnacentral:rRNA from 1 species
CCUAGGAAUCUGCCUGGUAGUGGGGGAUAACGUUCGGAAACGGACGCUAAUACCGCAUACGUCCUACGGGAGAAAGCAGGGGACCUUCGGGCCUUGCGCUAUCAGAUGAGCCUAGGUCGGAUUAGCUAGUUGGUGAGGUAACGGCUCACCAAGGCGGCGAUCCGUAACUGGUCUGAGAGGAUGAUCAGUCACACUGGAAAGGAGACACGGUCCAGCCGCCUACGAGAGGCAGCAGUGGGGAAUAUUGGACAAUGG